UACGGAGGGUGCAAGCGUUAUCCGGAAUUACUGGGUUUAAAGGGUGCGUAGGCGGACAAAUAAGUCAGCGGUGAAAUGCUUUGGCUCAACUAAAGAAUUGCCAUUGAUACUGUUUGUCUUGAAUUAGGUUGAGGUCAGCGGAAUGUGACAUGUAGCGGUGAAAUGCAUAGAUAUGUCAUAGAACACCAAUUGCGAAGGCAGCUGGCUAGGCCUGAAUUGACGCUGAGGCACGAAAGCGUGGGGAGCGAACAGG
rnacentral:rRNA from 1 species